rnacentral:rRNA from 1 species
CACGUAGGGCGCAAGCGUUGUCCGGAAUUAUUGGGCGUAAAGAGCUCGUAGGCGGUCUGUUGCGUCCGCUGUGAAAACUCGGGGCUUAACCCCGAGCCUGCAGUGGAUACGGGCAGACUAGAGGUAGGUAGGGGAGAAUGGAAUUCCCGGUGUAGCGGUGAAAUGCGCAGAUAACGGGAGGAACACCGGUGGCGAAGGCGGUUCUCUGGGCCUUACCUGACGCUGAGGAGCGAAAGCGUGGGGAGCGAACAGG